rnacentral:rRNA from 1 species
UUUCGGAUCGUAAAGCUCUGUUGUUAGGGAAGAACAAGUGCGAGAGUAACUGCUCGCACCUUGACGGUACCUAACCAGAAAGCCACGGCUAACUACGUGCCAGCAGCCGCGGUAAUACGUAGGUGGCAAGCGUUGUCCGGAAUUAUUGGGCGUAAAGGGCUCGCAGGCGGUUUCUUAAGUCUGAUGUGAAAGCCCCCGGCUCAACCGGGGAGGGUCAUUGGAAACUGGGAAACUUGAGUGCAGAAGAGGAGAGUGGAAUUCCACGUGUAGCGGUGAAAUGCGUAGAGAUGUGGAGGAACACCAGUGGCGAAGGCGACUCUCUGGUCUGUAACUGACGCUGAGGAGCGAAAGCGUGGGGAGCGAACAGGAUUAGAUACCCUGGUAGUCCACGCCGUAAACGAUGAGUGCUAAGUGUUAGGGGGUUUCCGCCCCUUAGUGCUGCAGCUAACGCAUUAAGCACUCCGCCUGGGGAGUACGGUCGCAAGACUGAAACUCAAAGGAAUUGACGGGGGCCCGCACAAGCGGUGGAGCAUGUGGUUUAAUUCGAAGCAACGCGAAGAACCUUACCAGGUCUUGACAUCCUCUGACAACCCUAGAGAUAGGGCUUUCCCUUCGGGGACAGAGUGACAGGUGGUGCAUGGUGUCGUCAGCU